AAGUCGUAACAAGGUUUCCGUAGGUGAACCUGCGGAAGGAUCAUUAUCGAGCCGCCAACGCGGGCCUCUGGUACUUCGGUGCCUUUGGGCCCCGUUGGCAAAUGGCCCAACCCUUGCUUCUUGACAACCAUUGUCUCGGCGGUACCGCGCCUUUCGGGGCCAGCUGGAUUCGUUCCGGCUUGAGUCCGCCAGAGAACCAUUAAAAAUCGUUUAUCAGAUCGUCUAAGAAUGAAAUAAUUCAAUAAAACUUUCAACAACGGAUCUCUUGGUUCCG
rnacentral:misc_RNA from 1 species